UUGUUAGCUUCUGUAUUGGUUUAUCUGUUUGGAAUUUGUGAUUUAUACCAGAAUCGAGACAUCUUCAGAAUAUGUUUGCUCCUAUGAAUAAAUUCAAGCAAUGCAUGGUUGACUCAUUAGUACUCUUUUGUUGCUGCAGAUUACAUGCUCCACUCUAGGCCAGUUGCUUGAUUCUGUUCUUGAACAGGAGGGUUUCCAGAUUGGUUCAGUAUGUGGAAAGAAAAAAAGGAAAGCAAUAAAGCUUCAUAAAUCUGACCUAUACAGUGAUGUUAUUCGCAAAGAUGUUAUUUUGCUACUAAAGAAAGACAGAGAGAAUACAACUCCUCCCAUGACCAUGCCAAGCAGCUCAUAGCAGCAACUGCUUCCUCUGCCCCCAGGAGACCCUAUUUUACAACAACAAUCACACCAACCAACUACGACCGUGGUUACCCUUAUCUGGUCAGCUUUUGCCUUCUCUUUUCCAUCUCAGGGUUUAUUUUUCUGUUUAAAUCAUAUCAAAGAUGAUAUAUAUUCACUGAGACAUGGCCUAAUUAAUAUUUGAGUUGGGUGGGGCAGAAUAUCCCCAGAGAAUUUUGGAGAUCAAAUGAUAUCAUAACUAAGGCAGCAUAAGCUCUCAGAGAUCCACUGAAUAGGUGGUGGCCAGUGAAACUUAGAUUACCAAGCGGGGCAUCGGUUAAGCUGGGGAUGUGGUUGGCAUGAGUACUAUGAAUCCAAGAAGCUCAAGGUAGGAGAUCCUCUUCGUCUUUGAGCUCAAUCCCACCUCACCAGAAACUCCAAAUCCUGUUCUAGAUGUUUGAACCCUUCCUCCACAGAAGAAGAUACUACUUAUAUUUUGAUGGUUGAUUCUCCGUGAUUUUUUGUUUUUGGUUAUGAAUGUUUUUGAAUUUGGAAAAAAUGUGGUGUUUGCUCGAGCAGAUUCUCUGAUCUACCUUAUUAAUCAUUUCUUUGGCCGGUUUGUCUA